rnacentral:rRNA from 2 species
UGGCGGCAGGCUUAACACAUGCAAGUCGAGCGGGCGUAGCAAUACGUCAGCGGCAGACGGGUGAGUAACGCGUGGGAACGUACCUUUUGGUUCGGAACAACACAGGGAAACUUGUGCUAAUACCGGAUAAGCCCUUACGGGGAAAGAUUUAUCGCCGAAAGAUCGGCCCGCGUCUGAUUAGCUAGUUGGUAGGGUAAUGGCCUACCAAGGCGACGAUCAGUAGCUGGUCUGAGAGGAUGAUCAGCCACAUUGGGACUGAGACACGGCCCAAACUCC